rnacentral:rRNA from 1 species
GACGAACGUUGGCGGCGUGCUUAACACAUGCAAGUCGAACGGAAAGGCCCUGCUUUUGUGGGGUGCUCGAGUGGCGAACGGGUGAGUAACACGUGAGUAACCUGCCCUUGACUUUGGGAUAACUUCAGGAAACUGGGGCUAAUACCGGAUAGGAGCUCCUGCUGCAUGGUGGGGGUUGGAAAGUUUCGGCGGUUGGGGAUGGACUCGCGGCUUAUCAGCUUGUUGGUGGGGUAGUGGCUUACCAAGGCUUUGACGGGUAGCCGGCCUGAGAGGGUGACCGGCCACAUUGGGACUGAGAUACGGCCCAGACUCCUACGGGAGGCAGCAGUGGGGAAUAUUGCACAAUGGGCGGAAGCCUGAUGCAGCAACGCCGCGUGCGGGAUGACGGCCUUCGGGUUGUAAACCGCUUUCGCCUGUGACGAAGCGUGAGUGACGGUAAUGGGUAAAGAAGCACCGGCUAACUACGUGCCAGCAGCCGCGGUGAUACGUAGGGUGCGAGCGUUGUCCGGAUUUAUUGGGCGUAAAGGGCUCGUAGGUGGUUGAUCGCGUCGGAAGUGUAAUCUUGGGGCUUAACCCUGAGCGUGCUUUCGAUACGGGUUGACUUGAGGAAGGUAGGGGAGAAUGGAAUUCCUGGUGGAGCGGUGGAAUGCGCAGAUAUCAGGAGGAACACCAGUGGCGAAGGCGGUUCUCUGGGCCUUUCCUGACGCUGAGGAGCGAAAGCGUGGGGAGCGAACAGUCUUAGAUACCCUGGUAGUCCACGCUGUAAACGGUGGGUACUAGGUGUGGGGUCCAUUCCACGGGUUCCGUGCCGUAGCUAACGCUUUAAGUACCCCGCCUGGGGAGUACGGCCGCAAGGCUAAAACUCAAAGGAAUUGACGGGGCCCCGCACAAGCGGCGGAGCAUGCGGAUUAAUUCGAUGCAACGCGUAGAACCUUACCUGGGUUUGACAUGGAUCGGGAGUGCUCAGAGAUGGGUGUGCCUCUUUUGGGGUCGGUUCACAGGUGGUGCAUGGCUGUCGUCAGCUCGUGUCGUGAGAUGUUGGGUUAAGUCCCGCAACGAGCGCAACCCUUGUUCACUGUUGCCAGCACGUUAUGGUGGGGACUCAGUGGAGACCGCCGGGGUCAACUCGGAGGAAGGUGGGGAUGACGUCAAGUCAUCAUGCCCCUUAUGUCCAGGGCUUCACGCAUGCUACAAUGGCUGGUACAGAGAGUGGCGAGCCUGUGAGGGUGAGCGAAUCUCGGAAAGCCGGUCUCAGUUCGGAUUGGGGUCUGCAACUCGACCUCAUGAAGUCGGAGUCGCUAGUAAUCGUAGAUCAGCAACGCUGCGGUGAAUACGUUCCCGGG